rnacentral:rRNA from 1 species
CUACGGGGGGCAGCAGUGGGGAAUAUUGGACAAUGGGCGAAAGCCUGAUCCAGCCAUGCCGCGUGUGUGAAGAAGGCCUUCGGGUUGUAAAGCACUUUCAGUGGGGAAGAAAGCCUUGGGGCUAAUACCCUCGAGGAAGGACAUCACCCACAGAAGAAGCACCGGCUAACUCCGUGCCAGCAGCCGCGGUAAUACGGAGGGUGCGAGCGUUAAUCGGAAUUACUGGGCGUAAAGCGCGCGUAGGCGGUCUGAUAAGCCGGUUGUGAAAGCCCCGGGCUCAACCUGGGAACGGCAUCCGGAACUGUCAGGCUAGAGUGCAGGAGAGGAAGGUAGAAUUCCCGGUGUAGCGGUGAAAUGCGUAGAGAUCGGGAGGAAUACCAGUGGCGAAGGCGGCCUUCUGGACUGACACUGACGCUGAGGUGCGAAAGCGUGGGUAGCAAACAGGAUUAGAUACCCUAGUAUC